UGUGUAGGUGGUCGUAUUAGUCGUUCGUUAAAAACCAGGGCUCAACCCUGGGAGUGCGAGCGAAACGGUACGACUCGAGGGAGUGAGAGGUGAAUGGAACUCUGGGUGUAGGGGUGAAAUCCGUUGAUAUCCAGGGGAACACCGAAAGCGAAGGCAAUUCACUGGCACUUUCCUGACACUGAAACACGAAAGCGUGGGUAGCGAACG
rnacentral:rRNA from 1 species